UACGAAGGGGGCUAGCGUUCGCUCGGAAUCGACUAGGGCGUAAAGCGCACGUUAGGCGGAUCGAUUCAAGGUCAGGGGUGAAACUCCUGGAGCUCAACGUGACCAGAACCUGCCUUUGAUACUGGCGGACCUUGAGUUCGGGAGAGGUGAGUGGAACUGCGAGUGUAGAGGUGAAAUUCGUAGAGUAUUCGCAAGAACACCGGUGGCGAAGGGCGGCC
rnacentral:rRNA from 1 species